rnacentral:lncRNA from 1 species
GUCUCCAGAUAGGGCCCCACUAGUCCGGCUAGCUAGUGAGCGGUUCUUUCGGGCGGCCGGGCCCUACGGGCGGGCAUCUCCCGCAACGCAAGCUGCAUUGUUCGCCACCACCCGAGAAGCAAAAGAUUCGAGAGUCCAGGCUGAAAAUACAUGCAUAGAUAGUGGUCUAAUGACAAAGGCCGACGACGGAAGCUCGGGACGGAGCCGUAUGAUGCGGAAGUCUCACGUACGGUUCCCUGAGAAGGGAGUGGCUACCUACUGGAGCUUCGACCAACCACCACCGGUCAAUUCCGCUUUGGGGCCACCCCUUACUCUAC